GUCCAAAGAAUGAUGAAAAUAUUAAAAUUUUGCCUGUAGUCCUCCUUGGAAUAGUUUUUUUAAUUAUCUUUUACUGCUGUGGAACUAAUGACAAUAAAAAAGAGGAACUUCAGACAAGAUUAGUGGAACUUCAGACAAGAUUAGGGCAGAGUGAACAGGACAGAGGCAAGUACCAGUUUCACUCAGUUCUGUGAACUGCUGAGUUAAAUGCUGAAAUCGACAAAAUAUUUAGAAAAGCUAAUUUUUUUUAUAGUCGUUU